GUGCUUGCUUCAGCGGCACACAUACUAAAAUUGGAGCGAUACAGAGAAGAUUAGCAUGGCCCCUGCGCAAGGAACAAACAGUUGUAUACGUUUUAACGCCUCUCAUU
ensembl:snRNA U6 U6 spliceosomal RNA